rnacentral:rRNA from 1 species
CAGUCGCCACGGUAAUACGGAGGGUGCAAGCGUUAUCCGGAUUUAUUGGGUUUAAAGGGUCCGUAGGCGGAUCUGUAAGUCAGUGGUGAAAUCUCACAGCUUAACUGUGAAACUGCCAUUGAUACUGCAGGUCUUGAGUAAAGUUGAAGUGGCUGGAAUAAGUAGUGUAGCGGUGAAAUGCAUAGAUAUUACUUAGAACACCAAUUGCGAAGGCAGGUCACUAAGAUUUAACUGACGCUGAUGGACGAAAGCGUGGGGAGCGAACAGGAUUAGAUACCCGCGUAGUCCCUGUCUCUUAUAC